rnacentral:rRNA from 1 species
AGUGAACGCUGGCGGUAGGCCUAACACAUGCAAGUCGAACGGCAGCACAGUAAGAGCUUGCUCUUACGGGUGGCGAGUGGCGGACGGGUGAGGAAUACAUCGGAAUCUACUUUUUCGUGGGGGAUAACGUAGGGAAACUUACGCUAAUACCGCAUACGACCUACGGGUGAAAGCAGUGGAUCUUCGUACCUUGCGCGAUUGAAUGAGCCGAUGUCGGAUUAGCUAGUUGGCGGGGUAAAGGCCCACCAAGGCGACGAUCCGUAGCUGGUCUGAGAGGAUGAUCAGCCAAACUGGAACUGAGACACGGACCAGACUCCGACGGGAGGCAGCAGUGGGGAAUAUUGGACAAUGGGCGCAAGCCUGAUCCAGCCAUACCGCGUGGGUGAAGAAGGACUUCGGGUUGUAAAGCCCUUUUGUUGGGAAAGAAAAGCAGCAGGUUAAUACCCCGCUGUUCUGACGGUACCCAAAGAAUAAGCACCGGCUAACUUCGUG